rnacentral:rRNA from 1 species
UGAACGCUAGCGGCAGGCUUAACACAUGCAAGUCGAGGGGUAGAGUAGCAAUACUUGAGACCGGCGCACGGGUGCGUAACGCGUAUGCAAUCUACCUUUUACAGAGGGAUAGCCCAGAGAAAUUUGGAUUAAUACCUCAUAGUAUAGCAGUUUCGCAUGAAACCACUAUUAAAGUCACAACGGUAAAAGAUGAGCAUGCGUCCCAUUAGCUAGUUGGUAAGGUAACGGCUUACCAAGGCUACGAUGGGUAGGGGUCCUGAGAGGGAGAUCCCCCACACUGGUACUGAGACACGGACCAGACUCCUACGGGAGGCAGCAGUGAGGAAUAUUGGACAAUGGGCGCAAGCCUGAUCCAGCCAUGCCGCGUGCAGGAUGACGGUCCUAUGGAUUGUAAACUGCUUUUGUACGAGAAGAAACACUCCUAUGUAUAGGAGCUUGACGGUAUCGUAAGAAUAAGGAUCGGCUAACUCCGUGCCAGCAGCCGCGGUAAUACGGAGGAUCCAAGCGUUAUCCGGAAUCAUUGGGUUUAAAGGGUCCGUAGGCGGUUUAAUAAGUCAGUGGUGAAAGCCCAUCGCUCACGGUGGAACGGCC